rnacentral:rRNA from 1 species
UACGAAGGGGGCUAGCGUUGCUCGGAAUCACUGGGCGUAAAGCGCACGUAGGCGGAUCGUUAAGUCGGGGGUGAAAUCCUGGAGCUCAACUCCAGAACUGCCUCCGAUACUGGCGAUCUUGGAGUCCGGGAGAGGUGAGUGGAACUCCGAGUGUAGAGGUGAAAUUCGUAGAUAUUCGGAAGAACACCAGUGGCGAAGGCGGCUCACUGGCCCGGUACUGACGCUAAGGUGCGAAAGCGUGGGGAGCAAACAGG